GCGAUACAGGGUGACAGCCCCGUACACAAAAAUGCACAUAUUGUGAGCUCGAUGAGUAGGGCGGGACACGUGGUAUCCUGUCUGAAUAUGGGGGGACCAUCCUCCAAGGCUAAAUACUCCUGACUGACCGAUAGUGAACCAGUACCGUGAGGGAAAGGCGAAAAGAACCCCGGCGAGGGGAGUGAAAAAGAACCUGAAACCGUGUACGUACAAGCAGUGGGAGCACGCUUAGGCGUGUGACUGCGUACCUUUUGUAUAAUGGGUCAGCGACUUAUAUUCUGUAGCAAGGUUAACCGAAUAGGGGAGCCGAAGGGAAACCGAGUCUUAACUGGGCGUUAAGUUGCAGGGUAUAGACCCGAAACCCGGUGAUCUAGCCAUGGGCAGGUUGAAGGUUGGGUAACACUAACUGGAGGACCGAACCGACUAAUGUUGAAAAAUUAGCGGAUGACUUGUGGCUGGGGGUGAAAGGCCAAUCAAACCGGGAGAUAGCUGGUUCUCCCCGAAAGCUAUUUAGGUAGCGCCUCGUGAAUUCAUCUCCGGGGGUAGAGCACUGUUUCGGCAAGGGGGUCAUCCCGACUUACCAACCCGAUGCAAACUGCGAAUACCGGAGAAUGUUAUCACGGGAGACACACGGCGGGUGCUAACGUCCGUCGUGAAGAGGGAAACAACCCAGACCGCCAGCUAAGGUCCCAAAGUCAUGGUUAAGUGGGAAACGAUGUGGGAAGGCCCAGACAGCCAGGAUGUUGGCUUAGAAGCAGCCAUCAUUUAAAGAAAGCGUAAUAGCUCACUGGUCGAGUCGGCCUGCGCGGAAGAUGUAACGGGGCUAAACCAUGCACCGAAGCUGCGGCAGCGACGCUUAUGCGUUGUUGGGUAGGGGAGCGUUCUGUAAGCCUGUGAAGGUGUGCUGUGAGGCAUGCUGGAGGUAUCAGAAGUGCGAAUGCUGACAUAAGUAACGAUAAAGCGGGUGAAAAGCCCGCUCGCCGGAAGACCAAGGGUUCCUGUCCAACGUUAAUCGGGGCAGGGUGAGUCGACCCCUAAGGCGAGGCCGAAAGGCGUAGUCGAUGGGAAACAGGUUAAUAUUCCUGUACUUGGUGUUACUGCGAAGGGGGGACGGAGAAGGCUAUGUUGGCCGGGCGACGGUUGUCCCGGUUUAAGCGUGUAGGCUGGUUUUCCAGGCAAAUCCGGAAAAUCAAGGCUGAGGCGUGAUGACGAGGCACUACGGUGCUGAAGCAACAAAUGCCCUGCUUCCAGGAAAAGCCUCUAAGCAUCAGGUAACAUCAAAUCGUACCCCAAACCGACACAGGUGGUCAGGUAGAGAAUACCAAGGCGCUUGAGAGAACUCGGGUGAAGGAACUAGGCAAAAUGGUGCCGUAACUUCGGGAGAAGGCACGCUGAUAUGUAGGUGAAGUCCCUUGCGGAUGGAGCUGAAAUCAGUCGAAGAUACCAGCUGGCUGCAACUGUUUAUUAAAAACACAGCACUGUGCAAACACGAAAGUGGACGUAUACGGUGUGACGCCUGCCCGGUGCCGGAAGGUUAAUUGAUGGGGUCAGCGCAAGCGAAGCUCUUGAUCGAAGCCCCGGUAAACGGCGGCCGUAACUAUAACGGUCCUAAGGUAGCGAAAUUCCUUGUCGGGUAAGUUCCGACCUGCACGAAUGGCGUAAUGAUGGCCAGGCUGUCUCCACCCGAGACUCAGUGAAAUUGAACUCGCUGUGAAGAUGCAGUGUACCCGCGGCAAGACGGAAAGACCCCGUGAACCUUUACUAUAGCUUGACACUGAACAUUGAGCCUUGAUGUGUAGGAUAGGUGGGAGGCUUUGAAGUGUGGACGCCAGUCUGCAUGGAGCCGACCUUGAAAUACCACCCUUUAAUGUUUGAUGUUCUAACGU
rnacentral:rRNA from 1 species